rnacentral:rRNA from 1 species
AGAUCAGAAUGUUGGUCGUGCCUUGGUACGUACUGGCAUUAUUGGUUUCUCCCUUCUGACGAACCAUGAUGCCAUUAAUUUGGUGUUUUGGGGAAUUUGGACUGUUACUUUGAAAAAAUUAGAGUGUUUAAAGCAAGCUAACGCUUGAAUACAUUAGCAUGGAAUAAUGAAAUAGGACGUUCGAUCCUAUUUUGUUGGUUUCUAGGAUUGACGUA